UCUUCAAGCCAAGUCUCUUCCCAGCUGCUCUCUUCACAUCUGAGGUCCUGCCAGUAUCACCUGGUUUUGAAGCAGUUCAUAAUCAAUGAAUACCAUGCAUUUAUGGCAAGUGGUUGCUUAUGAUCU